CGGCGUCACGAGUGGCAAUCACGUUUAUUGGGUCUAAAGCGUUCGUAGCCGGUUUAGUAAAUCUUUUGUGAAAUUGUCGGGCUUAACCUGACACCGUGCAGAAGACACUGCUAAACUAGAGACCGGGAGGGGUUAGAAGUAUUUCAGGGGGAGCGGUAAAAUGUUAUAAUCCCUGAAAGACUACCAAUGGCGAAGGCAUCUAACCAGAACGGAUCUGACGGUGAGGAACGAAGGCUAGGGGAGCGAACCGGAUUAGAUACCCGAGUAGUCC
rnacentral:rRNA from 1 species